AUCCCAGUAGAUCGAUGGAUAAAUCGUUGAACUUCUAAUCCAAAGGUCUAGGGUUCGAAUUCCUUCUUGGAAUG